GCGGGCCGUCCGGGACAGGAGCGCAACCUGGCGGGACACCUAGGCACGGCCGCGAGGAAAGCACGCCGCGGCUCCAGCAGGAACAAAGUCGGUGCAGUUGACGAAGUCUUGCGAAACAUGCACCGCUAGUGAAAUGCCACAGAAUUAUUCACAAUAAGGGAACCGUAUCGCAGUUUUAAGGACAGCGAAUGAUCUUCGUUGCGCCAAUGAUGUUACAUUAAGCAGAGUUCCUAAUCAGGAGGAAGUGAGUUGUUAGACUUCGUAAUAUUUGCGACGAUAACUCUACUGUGCGGGCACCGGCUACGUUCCUGAGGAGACAGCAGGCCGUCAAAAUAUUGAGAAGCAGCGGGUCUCCAUCCACUGGAACCGCUCAAUAUGUCGAACAAAGGCAGCUCAUCAGCUUCUGGGAGACUCACCUGUAUUCCAACCCAAUCAUUCUUACCU